ACUCGGGCGCCCGCCGCGUCCGCGGACGAGGGAGCCGUACCCGCCCAGCGACAAGACGGCCAGA
rnacentral:ncRNA from 1 species